CGCUGAUCUUAGAGAAUUUUCCCCAAAAUUUGAAUACUGAUUUAGAUAUGAUUGAAAUCAGUUUUCCAGAAUCCUCGGUUAUCUAAAGUUUUAGGCUAUCAUGAAACCAAGUUGAAAUUACUUCUUGGCAAAUCUCCAUAUCUUUUUAUCUCUAAUAGGCCACACAUUAUCCUAUUUUGUGUGGUUAUUGGGUUCUUACUAUUGUCUGUUUUUGCCUUCCUGCCAUCCUCUCUACCUUUGGCCUCUUGGUUCUCCUCUUCCUAACAGUUCAUGACCAGCUCCCCUCCUUUCUCUGUUCCCUGCCUCUAAGAGUCCGCAUGCCCAAGGGCUUUGUCCUUGAACUUGUCGCCUGUCCACAUCAACUGCCCGAGUGACCUCAUUUCUCUCAGUAACUUUCUAUAGCUUGCUGAUUCCUGGAUUUGAGCUGUGAAGCCCUGUUUGGGAGACUGAGGCUUCUUUUUAAAGUUGUGUCAAUCUUGACAUUUAACAUAAACCGCAUCGUAUAUCUGACCAGUGACUCGUUGUUCUGUGGUGUUUGAUGUUUUUCAGAAGCCCUUCUGUUGAGGUGGACACCAAGAGUGAGAAUACUUCAUCAUCCGAGGGAGCCAACGGUACCCUGCUGAUCCACAGCCCCGCAGAACUCAAAAGCGGCUGGAGGAAGCAGAAGGGGUACCUCUCCUCAUUUAGUGAUUCGUUGCUUGCGUCUAAUACCACGUAUCAAAAGAACUUUAAGAUAAAAGAUAAAACACCACUGAGAACCAUGUGAACUGCCAACCAUAUACACAAGGCUGGUGAAGCCGGCGUCGUUGCCAGAAAGUCCUUUGUCCUGGGCUGACCCCCGGUGAGCUUUGUGGCCCCCUUCAGGUGAGACCUACAGCUUGGUGUCCUGGAUCUACGUGGGUUCAAAACGAGGACAUUUUCAUCUGCUUGCAUAUUAAGCCAGUGACUCACUUCUUGACUGACCAUAAUGACACACAUGGGCUUCCCUGGUGGCUCAGUGGUCAAGAAUCUGCCUGUAAUGUAGGAGACUUGCGGAAGAUGCCCACUCAACCCCUGGGUCAGGAAGAUCCCCUGGAGGUGGAAAUGGCAACCCACUCCAGUAUUCUGCCUAGGAAAUCCCAUGGACAGAGGAGCCUGGCGGGCUACAGUCCAUGCGGUUACAGAAAGAGUCGGACACGACUGCGUGGCAUAAACAACAGCAAAUGACACACAUGCCUUGUGCUUUUCCCUCCUAAAAAGGUUCUCAUGUGCAAAUGCAUGCAUGUGGAUAGUAACAGUGGAAAUGACCGCAGUGAUUUCCUUUGGUUUUGAUCAGUGGUUUUUCAGAUGGGCUAUGUGAGCUACUUGGGAAGCCAGAUCCUCUUGUGUUCAUGGUAUCCUUGUAUGAGGAAGGAGGAUCAUGAGAGCAAGACUCUAGGACCCCUCACCAAUAUCCUGCCCUCAAUCCCGAUUAUCUUUCUUGAAAAAGUACAAUUAUAUUUGAAAAACUGACUUUAUACUCCCAAAUUAAUUCCCUUUAAAAUGGGAUUUAAUUAUACACAUAACAUUAAUUGUGUCAUCAAAUACUAGGUUGCCUGAAUUGCUGUGUACAAAUAAUCUUAUUUGGUGUGUGUAGAAGGGUGACAGUAAAACACAGCUACGAUUCCAUGGAGCACAGGUCAGUUUUCCAAUUACAUUCUUAGACUGGAGUGAGGACGGGGAAUGUGAAUAUCCCAAGUUGACAGUCCCGGGUUCACCAGCGUCAUGAAACAUUCACCGCUGCCACUUGGAACAACCACACCCCGUAUCUCAGUCUUGUGCACACACCAGGCCCUCAUCACACGCACGUGACACACUUUCUUGUCCUCCUCACCUGACACCAAAAUCUCUUGUCUCAUCACAGAGCUAAGACAACUAAAAUACUGCCGAGUGGUAAAUUGACUAAAUGCUAGAAUUCAGCUGUUGACUUAAUGAAAACUUUGAAAGCUUUUGGGGAAGAAAUAUGUAUUUGUAUCAUUCUCUGUAUGUCUCCUUUCCAUGACUUAUUUCUCUAAAGAUCCAGUUCCUAUUGCUUAAACAUCUUUUCCAUGUUUUAAGUGAAUGGAAGCAGUUUCAUUUGGGAAUGUGCAGUUUCUGAUAAGGGAGUGUCCAAGAAACUUUUUUCCUAGUGAGGCUAGAAAGGAGGAAGCCAGGUUUACACCUGUUAUUUAGGUUUAAAAGCUGUGUGAGAACAUACAUGGCAUUCAUAACAAUGCCUGACACCUAGUGCUUUGGCCAUUUGCUCUUUUACUCUUCUGCAGGUUGCCAUGAGUAAUUAGAAGCUGUGUUCGGGUAUAUAUGCAGGUUGGGAGCUCAGAGGGCACUCUACUUCCUGGUGAAACAGUUCUUGAAAAGGGGAUGAGGGGUAGGAGCAGUGUUUUGGUAGGAAUAUAAAAUGUGGCAGCCAUAGGAGAACAUACAUAUUCUGGGUAUAUAUCCAAGAGAAAUGAAAACUUACAUCCACACAAAAAACGUAUACACAAAUGCUCGUAGCUGCUUUAUCCACCACAGCCAAAAAAAAAAAAAAAAAAGGAAAUAGCCUAAGUGUUUAUCAAUUAAUGAAUGUAUAAGCCAAACCUGGUAUGGGGCCUGAGGAUGGAGGAGACUGGGGUGUGACUCCUUAAUGCACACAGGGUUUGCCGUUGGGUAGUGAAAAUAUUCCAGAACUAGAUAAUGGUGAUGGUUGCACAAUAUUGUUAAUCUACAGAUGAUCACUAAUUGUCAGUUGUAUGUUAUGCAUAAUUUACCACAAUAAAUAAAAUUUAAUAAGUGAUAAGUCUGUG
ensembl:lncRNA